rnacentral:rRNA from 1 species
UACGAAGGGGGUAAGAGUCUUUUAUUGGUUUGUAAUUAGUUUUAUAGAAAGAUUAGAAGGGAAGAUUUGUGAGGUGAAAUUUUAAACUUUAAGUUAAUCUGAUUUUGAGUAAAUGAAGUUAUGAAGUUUAGGUAAUAAACUGGGAUUAGAUACCCCAUUAUUCUAAAAGUUAAAAUAAAGCCUGAGUAGUAAUAGUUAUGUUCUUGAAACUCAAAGAAUUUGGCGGUGUUUUAAACCGGUCAGAGGAACCUGUCCCGUAAUCGAUAACCCACGUUUAUUUAACUUGGUCUAGUAUUCAGCUUGUAUACCGCCGUCAGAAGAGUGAUUCGGGAGAAUACCCUCAAGAUUUCUAAUUAGAAAAAAUGUCAGGUCAAGGUGCAGUUUAUGAUUAAGGGGAGAUGGGUUACAAUAAUUUUAAUUAGAUGGAAAUUUCCUUGUAAGAGGGGAUUGAAGGUGGAUUUGGAUGUAAUGAAAAGAAUUAAAUUUUUAUGAUGCCGGCUCUAAAACAAGCACACAUCGCCCGUCGCUCUCGUUUUUU